GUGUUGGUGGUAUAGUGGUUAGCAUAGCGCCUUCCAAGCAGUUGGCCUGGGUUUGAAUCCUGGCCAACACA
rnacentral:tRNA from 1 species